CUAAAGCAGCCCAAAGCUGCCGGCAAAAAGACUGGAUUUAAUCCACUAUUGCUGAUGGUCUCCUUGAGACUACGGCGGCAGCUUGCUUCAGGAGUGGGACAUCUGGUUGCCACAGUCCUGGAGCAAUUGCAGCUGUAGUAGCCAGAGAUCACUCCUUUUGUGGCAUGUGAUUCGGCCUUACUAUUUCUAAUUAGUUUUUUUAAUCAGGAUUUGAAUCCUUGCUGAGCUAUGGAUAGCACUGGAUGACCUUAAGCAAACCACACUUUCUCAGGCUGCCACACUUUCUCAGGCUGCCAAAAAGACAAAUAAAGGGGGUCCAAGGACAAAAUGCUGAACUCUCACUGAAAGACAGAAUGACUAAACUGAGGCUAUCAUACUUGGGAUAUAUUGUAAGACUACUUGUCUGAUUAGAAACAACACUAAUUCUGGAAAAAGCAAAAGGCAGUAGGAAAAGAGGGAGACCACACCACAGGUAGAUUGAUUCAAUUUCCUAAAAGGAAACAUUACAAUAUCUAGGGCUAUUUGGUAUUGAAAGAAGGGUAAUAAUGUAUGAGGGGGCAGGAUAUCAAAGUGCAUAAAAUGAUAUGUGAUGUGAAAAAAGUGGAUAGGGAGACAUUUUCCUAGAUCCUAGAUGACUCAGUGUUGUCCAAUGAAGCGCAACAGGGAGAUAUUUGGGCCACCAUUUACAGUUAAAUGAUAGAGUCUACUACCACAAGAUGUACUGAUUUAGAUAGCUUUUAAAGGCCAUGAGUCAAAUUCAUGGAGGACAAGAUUAUUUGCCUUUUUUUUUUGGCCUCUAAUUUGGCUUAUUACUAUUAUUAUUAUUAUUAUUAUUAUUAUUAUUAUUAUUAUUUGGCCACAUGUUGGCCAAAUUUGGAGGAAACUGGCAGGAUCACUGACAUUUUGUAGUUGCCCACCCUUGAACUGGGCCUCUCCACCCUGGUGAGCAGGAGUGUGUGUGUGUGUGGGGGGGGGAAUGUGUGCUGUGGCCCUCUUGGUUUCCCAUGGAUUUCCCAUUGGCUGCAGUAGGAAAAAGGAUUAUGUGUUACAGAGAUGGGCCUUUAGUGUGAUGCAAAGGGUUCUUCUUAUAAUUGCCUUGCAGCCUAUUGCCAAGGUCCUUGUAGCUCAGUGUUCUGAUUUUAACAACAGCUGGACAGCCAGCCAGCUGUGCCUCAUACAGCCUAGCCAGGAAGCAUGAAACAAUACUUCGUUCUUGGUCCAAGAACCCUUAGUCUGUGUAGAGAAGACUGAUUUAACUUUCCUGACUAACAGUGUUGCCAGAUAGACUGUCCUCAAGAUACAAAACAGAUUAAGGCUUUUAUGUGGGUCUCUUCCAAUGUAGCAAGACCAUACUUGGCUCCAUAGUGGCUUAUGAUUAGUAUCAGGCCUUAGCCGUACUUCCUUUCUCUCGGCAGGUGUCAACGUCACUGCACUGGGCCAAGGGAGAGACCAGCCAAGGGGUUCCUCUCUGGAUCAUCAUCUUAGCCAUUCUGAUUGGACUCCUGCUCCUGGCACUCCUCAUCUAUGUACUAUACAAGCUGGGCUUCUUCAAACGCUCUCUUCCUUACGGCACGGCCAUGGAGAAGGCUCAGCUGAAGCCACAAGCAGCGUCAGAGGCCUAGCAUGUCCAGCAUUGCCCUCUGCAUAUGUGUGUUGUCGCUGCUGCCCUGCAGAGGGGCACCAGUAUCAUCUGCCAUGAGCACCGGGGAGGGGAGCACAGCCAACACCAGCAGGGCAUAGAAAGGGCAGGGCCACAGCGGCUGAGCCCCCCAAUGGACUGCCACAAAGACCGGUGUGCCAGGCACCUCUCCCCCUCACUGAAAGAGGUUGUAAGCUCGAGGCUCAGUGCCCUCCCUCUCUUCCCCGUUCCUUGGGACUUGGAUCCUACAAACACGUCGUGCCCUCACUGAGAUUGGCAGCAGCCUUUGCUCCCAGUCAAAGGGAAUACUUGAAGCCGCUGGAGCGGCCGGUGCUGGCCUGAUCUCAGGCUCCCUCUGUCAAGCUGCCUGUUCCGUCCAUCUGUGAGGAAAGGAGUGUCGUCCUGGACAGUUUCCAAGCUGUCAAUCUUCUCUGAAAAGCUUGGUCAAAAGGAAGAUGCUGUUGAAGAAGAAAAGCACAAUCGCCUCCCAAGUCCAGCCCUUUCCCUUCCACAGGCCGGAAUGGAAGGUCCUGGGCUUUCACUUCCAGUCGUCCCCUGGCCUGCUUCCUGGGGAGAAUGACGUGGGACACAGACUUAAGCUGGGAAAGCCGGAUGCUCCUGUAAUGCCAAAGAUUUGCCACGUUGGGAAGCCAAGCCAUCGCCCGGUGUCGGCCCGGACUUGCCGACAGUCUUCGCACUGAUCUCCGGAAACUGCUAGAGAUUUUAUUUUUCAGAUGCCACUUUAAUUAAAAAGGAAGAAGAAGAAAUGAGGAAGCUGCUGCCGCCUCCUAAUAGCAGAGACAGGGGUUGCUUUUUAAUUUAAAUUGUCCAAUGUGCAAUAAAUGCUUCCAUAUUUUC